UUGAACGCUGGCGGCAUGCCUUACACAUGCAAGUCGAACGGCAGCACGGGGGCAACCCUGGUGGCGAGUGGCGAACGGGUGAGUAAUACAUCGGAACGUGCCCUGAAGUGGGGGAUAACGUAGCGAAAGUUACGCUAAUACCGCAUAUUCUGUGAGCAGGAAAGCGGGGGAUCGCAAGACCUCGCGCGGACGGAGCGGCCGAUGGCAGAUUAGGUAGUUGGUGGGAUAAAAGCUUACCAAGCCGACGAUCUGUAGCUGGUCUGAGAGGACGACCAGCCACACUGGGACUGAGACACGGCCCAGACUCCUACGGGAGGCAGCAGUGGGGAAUUUUGGACAAUGGGCGCAAGCCUGAUCCAGCCAUGCCGCGUGAGUGAAGAAGGCCUUCGGGUUGUAAAGCUCUUUCAGACGGAAAGAAAUCGGGCGGGUGAAUAGCCUGCCUGGAUGACGGUACUGUCAGAAGAAGCACCGGCUAACUACGU
rnacentral:rRNA from 1 species